rnacentral:rRNA from 1 species
UCCUACGGGAGGCAGCAGUGGGGAAUAUUGGACAAUGGGCGAAAGCCUGAUCCAGCAAUGCCGCGUGAGUGAUGAAGGCCUUAGGGUUGUAAAGCUCUUUUGUCCGGGAAGAAAGCGAGCUGGCUAAUACCUGGCUUGGAUGACGGUACCGGAAGAAUAAGCACCGGCUAACUACGUGCCAGCAGCCGCGGUAAUACGUAGGGUGCGAGUGUUAAUCGGAAUUACUGGGCGUAAAGCGUGCGCAGGCGGUUUGUUAAGACAGAUGUGAAAUCCCCGGGCUUAACCUGGGAACUGCAUUGGUGACUGCAACGCUGGAGUGCGGCAGAGGGGGAUGGAAUUCCGCGUGUAGCAGUGAAAUGCGUAGAUAUGUGGAGGAACACCGAUGGCGAAGGCAGCCCCCUGGGAUAAUACUGACGCUCAUGCACGAAAGCGUGGGGAGCAAACAGGAUUAGAUACCCUGGUAGUCCACGCCCCAAACGAUGUCAACUAGCUGUUGGGUUCUUCGGGACUUGGUAGCGCAGCUAACGCGUGAAGUUGACCGCCGGGGGAGUACGGUCGCAAGAUUAAAACUCAAAUGAAUUGACGGA